rnacentral:rRNA from 1 species
GACGAACGCUAGCGGCAGGCCUAAUACAUGCAAGUCGAACGAGAUUAAGAGGCUUGCUUCUUAUGAAAGUGGCGCACGGGUGCGUAACGCGUAUGCAACCUACCUUAAUCAGGGGGAUAGCCCGAAGAAAUUCGGAUUAAGACCGCAUAAAAACACAGGAUAGCAUUAUCCAAUGUUCAAAUAUUUAUAGGAUUAAGAUGGGCAUGCGUGUCAUUAGCUAGUUGGCGGGGUAACGGCCCACCAAGGCGACGAUGACUAGGGGAUCUGAGAGGAUGACCCCCCACACUGGUACUGAGACACGGACCAGACUCCUACGGGAGGCAGCAGUAAGGAAUAUUGGUCAAUGGAGGGAACUCUGAACCAGCCAUGCCGCGUGCAGGAAGACAGCCCUCUGGGUCGUAAACUGCUUUUAUUCGGGAAUAAACCUUUCUACGUGUAGGAAGCUGAAUGUACCGAAGGAAUAAGGAUCGGCUAACUCCGUG